rnacentral:lncRNA from 1 species
AUGCCCGACAGCUGGGGUCUGUUCGAGACUGGCCUGGGUGUCAGGUUCCACUGCCAGGCAGGAGCGUGGGAUGAGGGUCUGAGCGAGCUGCCGGCCCACCCUGGAGGGCCUCGGGACCCCUGUCUGCCAGCCCCUGGGCUGCUUCACUCUGACUCCAUGUCUGCCUCCUGGCACCCCGCCAUCCCCACUCGCAUCUCUCUGGGUUACCGAGUCACCCUCACGUCCAUACUUCACACACGUGGACCAGAAAGUGUUAGGAAGGGACUCAGCGUCGGAAGCCACCAGCCGUGCCCUGCACCCCGGCUCUGUCCCUCCUGCCGCCCUCCCUGGGGUUGGCAAAUGUCCCCAUUCCUCUGGGCAUGGGAGGUAGAGACCUUGUGUCUGGUCACUUCCUUCCUGCCCAGCCCCUGGGGGCGGGGGCGGGGGUGGCGCAGGAGCACUCACUGCGCGUGGGCAGAGCCAAGGCCCUGGGAGGCUGUAGGAACCACGGGAGCUGGGGCCAGAGGCGGUUCCGAGAGGGAGUGGAGAAACCUGGCAGUAUGGGCGUCGCCCUGGAGACACAGGCCAGCCCCUCCCCCGGCUCUGUGGUCUGCAAGGAGAGGAGUCAGUGCAGGGUGUCCUGGUGGCCUGGAGGUGGCAUGCACCCCUCCACCCACAUGCACCCCCCCCCAGAGACCCCUGCGCAUCCCAGAGGCCGCGGGGCGGCUCCUGGUCUCUCCUCCUCCUCACCCCAGGAGUCUGUGCACAGCAGGUGCUGCACCUCCCAGACAAAGCAGGUACCUGAUGUGCAGGCUCCUCACCCCAGAGAGCGCAAGGGGGGAGGGGGCGGGGGCAGGCUCCUUACCCCAGAGAGAGCCAGAGAGGAGCGGCGGGGGCAAGCUCCUCACCCCAAAGAGCGCAAAGGGGGGAGGGGGCGGGGGCAGGUGGGCCACGCCCUGGGCUCCUCUGCCUCCAGACCUGGGGGCGGGCAGCUCCCUCAUUUUCUCUGAACAACCAGGUCCUCCGCCACUGUGGCCACACCUGCAGGACCAGCUCCUGACAGUGCCCAGGUGGAGGGAAGGGGCGUCCCUGCCCGGUGGGGCCAGCACAUCCGAGCCCUGGGUCCUUGCAGCAGAGACAGGCCACGGCAGGCGGCCACGACACACAGCAGAGGUUCCCCCUGCACCCCGUCCCUGCCACACUCCUGGGGGGAUGGGCUGCCCCCUUCGGCUCCUGCUCCAGGGCCCAGGUGCACCUGCCACCACUUCACCCAGGGUCACGGCUGUCUGUGCGGGAAGCACUCGGUACCCAGAGAAGAGUCUGCAGGUGUGCAUGUGUGACCGAGAGGCCUGUGCCGAAGGCCCGGGUUGGGACUCACGCGCCGUCCCUGUUCCGUCAUCCCUGGCCUGCCUUGUUUCAGAUCCUGCGAGAGAGGGCGUGGAAGUCAUUCUGAGGAGGAGCCCGUCCUGGGUACGCUGA